rnacentral:rRNA from 1 species
UACGUAGGGAGCAAGCGUUGUCCGGAAUCGUUGGGCGUAAAGCGCGCGUAGGUGGCUUCGUAAGUCCGUUGUGAAAGUCAAAGGCUCAACCUUUGAAAGCCGAUGGAUACUGUGAAGCUAGAGUACGGAAGGGGCAACUGGAAUUCUCGGUGUAGCGGUGAAAUGCGUAGAUAUCGAGAGGAACACCUGCGGCGAAGGCGGGUUGCUGGGCCGACACUGACGCUGAUGCGCGAAAGCCAGGGGAGCGAACGGG